AUUUCUCUCUGUUUUCCUUUCCCUUGUUCAUCUUCUUGUUCGGUAACUUGAGCUUGUUUCCCUUUCUCUUGUUCUUCUUGUAUCUCUGUGCCUGUCUCUCUCUCUCUCUCUCUGUGAUUCCUUGGCUGUGCGUGAAACAGACAGGGUUUCUUUUCUUUGCUUUCAAGAAUGCAAAGAAACCGUGUUGGGCAACAAACGGGUCUCGCGUUUUCUUCGCCACCACCGUGAGUUUCUUCAAGACACGCGCAAGCGCACCGUUCAUGUCAUCAACAGUUAUGCCGGAGUUGAACACUUGCUUAGAGAUGUGAAGGAUACAACCAUUAGCACCCUCGCAGCAGAGGUAAGUGCAAAACUCACAGCCUUAAAGGGAUUGGAUGCAAGGCUUAAAGAGAUAAAAAGUUACCUUGACCUUGUCAUUGAUGGAAAGCUUCCCUUGAACCAUGCGAUCUUGUAUCAUCUGCAGUACCUCUAUGUCGGUUUCUCUCUGUAUGGAGUCGCGUCAAUCAGAGUGGGUGUUUGCGAAAUAGUUGGUUUGUAAGAGAGCUGUACAACAGGAAAUGCCAUCCAUUAUGCGAGCUAUGCACCACUGGAACAUUUCUCAGCUCUGCGCCAUUGUCCACCACCUAGAUUGUUUUGUGACCUAGAUUGUUUUGUGAGUUCUUUCCUUUUUCUACUCUUAAACUUUACUUUUACAUUGGGGACGAUAUAAAAUUUAAGCAUGAGUAGAUUAAGUUGUAUUAGCAUUGUUUUGCAUUAUGUUUGCAUUAUAGCAUGUCAUACUCGUCAUAUCCUUUCUCAUGUUUUAUCUAUCUUAGCCCACUUUCUUUUGGAAUUUCAAUGUUCAUACUCUAGGGACCUUAUUUGUUUGAUAUGAUUAGCCCUUUCUGAAGAGUGAUCAAUAGAGAACUGAUGAUUAGCAAAGAGUUUCCUGAUCUCUAUUCUCUUUCAAAUGUAGCUACUAAAUGUGAGCUUUGAGCUUUAAUAAGGGUCUUGUUACAUCAUAUUAUGUUAAAACCCUUUCUUCUUUUAAUGAGUGACAUUCCACAUUGACUGUGCAUUCUAGAACUUGGCCUGUAACCAUUUUGAGAUGACUUUCUUGAACGCAUGUUUCAGGAUGAAAAAGGCACUUUAGGUAUUUUUCAGGCCCCAAAAUUUGCUGUUAAAGUUACCAUUAGUAGUUGCCCAAUUUUGAGCCUAAUAUGAAAAUUAAUUUCUUUGGUACCCAUCUAUGGAAUGUGAAUCUAUCUUCUGAAUUGAGUCCUUUAGAAUAUAAAUUGAGCAACUUAGGUAGAAAAUGAGUGCGAAAUCAAUUCUGAUUUGAAUGUUAAAGUGUGCAAAUUUUUUGAAAAAAGAGAAUUUGAAAGGAAAAAAAAUGUUGAAAAGGAAAAAAAGAAGAAGCAUAAAAGAGCAAAAAAAAAAAAGAAGAAAAAAGGAAAAGGAAUAUGAAACAGAAAAGUAUGAAGUCAUCAGUAACAAAAAAAAAAAGGAAAAAAAAAGAAGAAAAAAGAGAAGAAGGAAAAGAAAUAUGAAACAGAAAAAAGUGCAUGAAGUGUAAGUUAUUUAGUUGGUCUAUGUGUAGAUUAUUUUGUACACAGUUAUUUAGUUACUGAAUAUACAGAAGUGUCAUUUUCUGUUAUAGUUAAUUUAUCUCUAACUCUAAUAGUCAUCAUUAUAUUUAUUGUGGUUCUCUAUACUUAAGUUGCUCUUUAUAUGUUCUAAGGGAUGCUUGUUGUCAUUUAAUUUUGUUUAGCCCAUUGAUAUCCUUCUUCUUUCUCAGAAUCUUACCUAUUGAAUUGAUUUUCCUUGGCCACAUUACAACCCUUGAAAAGACCUUUUGACUUUAACACGCAUUCAAAAAAUUUAAGUUGUGGAGAUUUGGUUUAGGGCCAAGCCUAUGGAAAUGUAUUUUCUAUGUGGAGUGGCUGAGUGAAUUGUCUUAACCUGUAAACACUUUGAGGGAUGGUGAGAAGUGUACCCCUGUUUGUUAGAGAGUUCGAUUUCAGGACGCUUAAGACUCUAAUUGGGUAACCUUUUGAUCAUCUCUGAAUUGAUUGCUAAUCACUUAUACUUUUUUUGGGUUCCUUUGGUUUACACAUAUUUAUUUUCUCUAUUUUCCUCGUUGGGCUAAGAUACUUUAAGCAUGGGAAGAUUUGAUGUGGGUGCAUCUUGCAUACUAUUUCCAUAGUGUUUUGCAGAUUUUCUUUAGUUAAUGCAUUCAUGUUAAUUUUGGUAUGCAUUUUACUUGUUUCUGUUCAAAUGAUUUGUUUUUGUUUUAUGUUGUGUUUGCAGGUGAGUUUUGGUUAAAGAAUUGGGAAGAAUUUUGUAGAAAUUUGGAAAAGAAGUUGUGAGCAUUUAUGUUUUUUCUGGGGUAUUAAAGUAUGAUGGUUUCAUAUAUAGAAUAUUGUUACAGCAAGCUUCUAGGUUUUCCUUGUGCUUGUCAAUUUUUCUCUUUCUGCGGAGAACCCCUGUGAUUUGAUUGUCUAAUAUGUUCAUCUUAUGCAUAACAAAAAUGGGAGAUCUAAGAAAAUAUAAUUAUAACUUAAAUCUAAUUAUUAUCGGAGUUUGUUUUGAAAGUUUUUUUAUUCCUUUAAGGAAACUAAAAGGUAAAAGAAGGAAAAGCAAGGGUGUAUUUGUGUGAGGUGCUGAAGAAAGUUAGUGACGUGAUUUAAUUUUAAUUGAUGGAUUUUCAAUCGAUUCGAUGUUUCAUUUCUUUCAUCUACUGCUGAUCAGUUUUCCAAAGCAUAACCAUGAGAUAUUGAGAUGUACUUCAUAUCAGUUUGUUUCGUGUAUAUUUUUCUGGUUUCAGCAUGCAUAUUUUGUGACAGCCUUUGCAUUCUUUCAUUUAAUUAAACAAUUUGUUUGUUUAACUUGUGUUUGUAGGUGAAUUUUGGUCCUAGAAUUUGGGAUAGUUGAAGAAAUUCUUAAGAAAAGAUUACUGGUAGCUUUUGGGAGCAAGUGAGAGAAAUUUAGACCAAAUCAGAAAAGAUGACACUCUAGAAGCAAAACAAGCUCAACAACACACUAUCUUAGAUGCCAUGAUAGCUGCCCAACAAGAACACCAUACAUUAUGCGAGAUAUGCACCACUGACACCUUUUUCAGGUCUAUUAUCCACCACCUAGUUGAUUUUGAGUUGAACACUUGCUUAGAGAUGUGAAGGAUACAACCAUCAGCACCCUUGUAACAGAGGUGCUCUUCUUGGUAAGUGCAAAACUCACAGCCUUAAAGGGAUUGGAUGCAAGGCUUAAAGAGAUAAAAAGUUACCUUGACCUUGUCAUUGAUGGAAAGCUUCCCUUGAACCAUGCGAUCUUGUAUCAUCUGCAGUAUCUCUAUCUCGGUUUCUCUCUGUAUGGAGUCGCGUCAAACAGAGUGGGCAUGGGUUUGCAGAGAUAUUAUUCGGUUUCGCGAUAAGCAUUUAUCUGAGGGAACUAGUGAGGUUGCCACUGAGUGACGACAUAUUGCUAUUCUUUCUCGUUGGAGGUUGCGUUUAUACCCAGUUGUUCUAUCAUUAUAAGGUGUUUGCGAAAUAGUUAGUUUGUAAGAGAGCUGUACAACAGGAAAUGCCAUCCAUUAUGCGAGCUCUGCGCCAUUGUCCACCACCUAGUUUGCUUUGUGAGUUCUUUCCUUUUUCUACUCUUAAACUUUACUUUUACAUUGGGGACGAUAUAAAAUUUAAGCAUGAGGAGAUUAAGUUGUAUUAGCAUUUUUUUGCAUUAUGUUUGCAUUAUAGCAUGUCAUACUCAUCAUAUCCUUUCUCAUGUUUUAUCUAUCUUAGCCCACUUUCUUUUGGAAUUUCAAUGUUCAUACUCUAGGGACCCUAUUUGUUUGAUAUGAUUAGCCCUUUCUGAAGAGCGAUCAAUAGAGAACUGAUGAUUAGCAAAGAGUUUCCUGAUCUCUAUUCUCUUUCAAAUAUAGCUACUAAAUGUGAGCUUUGAGCUUAAAUAAGGGUCUUGUUACAUCAUAUUAUGUUAAAACCCUUUCUUCUUUUGAUGAGUGACAUUCCACAUUGACUGUGCAUUCUAGAACUUGGCCUGUAACCAUUUUGAGAUGACUUCUUCUUGAACGCAUGUUUCAGGAUGAAAAAGGCACUUUAGGUAUUUUUCAGGCCUCAAAAUUUGCUGUUAAAGUUACCAUUAGUAGUUGCCCAAUUUUGAGCCUAAUAUGAAAAUUAAUUUCUUUGGUACCCAUCUAUGGAAUGUGAAUCUAUCUUCUGAGUUGAGUCCUUUAGAAUCUAAAUUGAGCAACUUAGGUAGAAAAUGAUUGCGAAAUCAAUUCUGAUUUGAAUGUUAAAGUUUGCAAAUUUUUUGAAAAAAGAGAAUUAGAAAGGAAAAAAAUGUUGAAAAGAAAAAAAAGAAGAAGCAUAAAAGAGCAAAAAAAAAAAAAGAAAGAAAAAAGGAAGAAAAAAGAAGAAAAAAGAAGAAGGAAUAUGAAACAGAAAAGUAUGAAGUCAUCAUUAAACAAAAAAAAAAGAAAAAAAAAGAGAGAAUAAGGAAAAGAAACGUGAAACAGAAAAAAGUGCAUGAAGUGUCAGUUAUUCAGUUGGUCUAUGUGUAGAUUAUUUUGUACACAGUUAUUUAGUUACUAAACAUACAGAAGUGUGAUUUUCUGUUAUAGUUAGUUUAUCUCUAACUCUAGUAGUCAUCAUUAUAUUUAUGCGGUUCUCUAUGCUUAAGUUGCUCUUUAUAUGUUCUAAGGGAUGUUUGUUGUCAUUUAAUAUUUUUUAGCCCCUUGAUAUCCUUCUUCUUUCUCAGAAUCUUACCUGUUGAAUUGAUUUUCCUUGGCCACAUUACAACCCUUGAAAAGACCUUUUGACUUUAACACGCAUUCAAAAAAAUUUAAGUUGUGGAGAUUUGGUUUAGGGCCAAGCCUAUGGAAAUGUAUUGUCUAUGUGGAGUGGCUGAGUGCAUUGUCUUAACCUGUAAACACUUUGAGGGAUUGGGAGAAGUGUACCCCAGUUUGUUAGAGAGUUUGAUUUCAGGACGCUUAAGACUCUAAUUGGGUAACCUUUUGAUCAUCUCUGAAUUGAUUGCUAAUCACUUAUAUUUUUUUUGGGUUCCUUUGGUUGACACAUAUAUAUUUUCUCUAUUUUCCUCGUUGGGCUAAGAUACUUGCUUGAGGACAAGAAAAUAUUUAAGCAUGAGAAGAUUUGAUGUGUGUGCAUCUUGCAUACUAUUUCCAUAGUGUUUUGCAUAUUUUCUUUAGUUUAUGCAUUCAUGUUAAUUUUGGUAUGCAUUUUACUUGUUUCUGUUCAAAUGAUUUGUUUUUGUUUUAUGUUGUGUUUGCAGGUGGGUUUUGGUUAAAGAAUUGGGAAGAAUUUUGUAGAUAUUUGGAAAAGAAGUUGUGAGCAUUUAUGUUUUUUCUGGGGUAUUAAAGUAUGAUGGUUCCAUUUGUGUAGGUGAAUUUUGGUCCUAGAAUUUUGGAUAAUUGAAGAAUUCUUAAGAAAAGAUUACUGGUAGCUUUUGGGAGCAAGUGAGAGAAAUUUAGACCAAAUCAGAAAAGACGACACUCUAGAAGCAAAACAAGCUCAACAACACACUAUCUUAGAUGACAUGAUAGCUGCACAACAAGAAUGCCAUCCAUUAUGCGAGAUAUGCACCACUGGCACCUUUUUCAGGGCUAUUAUCCACCACCUAGUUGAUUUUGUGAGUUCUUUCCUUUUUCUCCUCGUUAACUUUACUUUUAUAUUGGGGAGAUUGAGUUGCAUUAUCAUUUUUUAUUUUGAGUGUUACUUGUUAACAUGCGCAUAUUAUUUCAUUUUGUUUGCAUUUUAGCAUGUCAUACUCAUCAUAUCCUUUCCCAGGUUUUGUCUAUCUUAGUCCACUUUCUUUAGGAGUUUUUAAUGUUGAUACUUUAGGGACCCAAUUUGUUUGUUUAAUUAACUUAAGUACAUGUAAACUUGUUUCAAAGCAUUUUUUAGAGUUGAACUACUUUAAACCAGAAUUUAAGCUUUAGAAGCAGUAGCACAGCAUAAAAUGGUCCAGAGGAUUAAGAUCAGCUAGUGGAACCAAUGUCCAUGUUGCUGAGGGCAUAUGUGAGAACGAGAAAGAACAAAGGGGUAAAAGUGGAAUUGAUGCAUUACUUAGUUAGGAGGGGAAUGUUAUGAGUGUGGUGGGAUCCCUGCGGAGAAUAAUUCAGGUAUCCUUUAUUCUGUUAGAGUGCAGAAUUCCAGUAGCCAUUAUUACUUAAAAAGAAGCCAUAGGUCGUGGUUUUACUUGUUAUACUUAGUAGUACUUAAAUUUUCGUUCUUUGGAUUCCAUUGAUGUCCUAUAGAAAAUUGAUAUUUGUGCAUCUUGCAUGGUAUUUCCAUAGCAUGGUGAAUCUUUUCUUUAGUGUUAUCAUGGAUUCAUGUUAGUUUUAAUAAGCAGUAUACUUUUUCUAGUUCCAAUGAUUUGUUUGUGUUUUGUAGGUGAGUCUUGGUCCUAGAAUUUGGAAGAGUUAAAGAAAUUUGUUAGAAAAAUUUGCUGGUAGUUUUUGGGCGCAAGUGGGCGAAAUUUAGACAAAUCUGAAAAGAAAUGUCAACGAUUAUGCGAGUUAUGCACAACUAACGCCUUUCUUAAGGCCAUUAUACACCAUCUAGUUAACUUUGUGAGAUCUUUCCCUUUUCUCAUGUUUAAGUUUGGGGGAAAUAUAAAUAGUGAGUCAUACUUAAAUUUUCUUUCUCAAGAUUCCAUAGAUGUCCUAUUGAGAAUUUAUGUGUGUGCAUCUUGCAUACGAUUUCCAUAGUAUUUUGCAUCUUUUUCUUAUUGUUAUCAUUCAUGCCUGUUAAUUUAGUAUGCAACUAUGCAUUUUAGUUGUUUUAGUUCAAAUGAUUUGUUUGUUUUAUGUUGUGUUUGCAGGUGAAUUUUUGUCCUUUAAUUGGAAGGAUUGAAAAAGAUUGUUAGAAUAGAUUGCCAAUAGAGGUUUUGGGAGCAAGCGAGCGAAAUUUAAACCAGAUCCGAAAUCACCGCAUCCUAGAAACCGAGCUAGCUCAACAAUGCACUAUAUUAGAUGACAAGAGAGCUUUGACAACAAGAAAUGUCAUCCAGUUUGUGAGCUAUGCACCAUUAACCUCUUUCUCAAGGCUGUAAUCCAUCAGCUAGUAGAUUUUGUGAGGAUUUCCCUUUUUCUUCUCUUAAACUUUGUCUGAACAUGGGGACGAUUUAACUUAUGGGGAGAUUGAGUUGCAUUAGCAUUUUUUAUUUUUAGAGUUAUUUGCUUGCAUGUACAUAGUUAUGCAUUAUGUCUUCAUUGUAGCAUGUCCAACUCAUUAUAUCCUUUUUCAUAAUUUAUCUAUUUUAACCACUUUCUUUAGUAUAUUUUAGUAUUGAUUCUUUAGGGAAUAGGGACCCAAUUUUUUUGUUUAAUUUAAUUACAUGCAAAUUUGUACUAAAGCUAUUAUUUUACCAAUGAUCUAUCAAUUUAAAACUGCAAUAUAGCCUUAGAUAGCACAACAUAAAAUGGCCAAGAUGUUGAUGGGGAUGGGGGUCAAGAUACUUUGGAGCCAAGGUGUUGACUGUGGAGGGUAUAUGUGAGAAAGGGAAAGAACGAAAGGGAAAAAGAGGAAUUGAACACAUGAGUAAGUUAGGAGGGAAGAUUAUGAGUGUAUGGGAGAAUCAUUCAGGUAGUUUAUAUACGGUUAGAGCGAGAAUUUUAUAGCCUUUGGAACCUCUGUAGAAGCCAUAGGCACUGGUUGAUUUCUAUUUGUUGUUUUGCUUGUCAUAGUGAAUAAAUAUUUUCAUUUUCUAGAUUCCAUAGAUUUCUUAUUGAAAAUUGAUGAGUGUGCAUGUUGCAUACUACUUUUAUAGUAUUUUGCCUAUUUUCUUUCGUUGUAUCAUGCAUUCCUGCUAAUUCCAACAUGCAUAUUGCUUGUUUUAGUUCAAAUGAUUUGUUUUUUUUUUCUUGUUGUGUUUGUAGGUGAGUUUUGGUCCUAGACUUGAGAAGAAUUGAAGAAAUUUGUUAGAAAAGAUUGUCGGUAGCUUUUGGAAUCAAGAAGAACAUGCAUAAAGAAGGUGGUUAUCAGUGCCGACUUGGAUCAGAAGGGCGAGUAGCCAUACUACUCACUGGAUUUUUGAUUAAAAUCCGGCAAACAAGAAAACACAACAUGACAAGCAUUUCAAGGGUAAUGAACCUCAAACACUCACCUUAGUCAAUGAGAACAUUAAAUGUCGGGCACAUUGUCUCCAAAAAUACAGGCAUCAACAACACAAGUAAUCAAGUAACAUAGGGUUUUGGUUUGCAAAUUUGAUUCAUUCAUUCGUUUGACAGAGUGAGACGCAGCAGAUUUCCUCUUUCAAGGGCACCGUUGAUGUCACCAUCAGUUACCCCGGUCUAGGAACUCACAUAUGCUUUUAUUCUGAAUUCAGAAUGCUACUCAAAAAAGCCAAAAGGUUUCACACAGUGACGAUUCUUCAUCAUAGAGGGAACCGUGGAAGUUGAUAGCAAUGAUGGGUUCCGAAACAAUCUAUCAUGGUUUCACACAGUGACGAUUCUUCAUCAUAGAGGGAACCGUGGAAGUUGAUAGCAAUGAUGGGUUCCGAAACAAUUUAUCAUGGUAAUAUCUUUGACUUGAAGAGAAGAGGAAAACUUGGAAGUGUCUUUUAUACUCGUCAUAACCAGACAUUGAGACCUUCCAUUUCUGGUCGAAUCUACUAUUAUGUACUAGUUUGAGGAGCACACGAUGAAGUUCUGAAGAGACAUUGACCAGAUCAUAAAGACAACAAAGACGUUAGAAAUUUCAUGGCUUAGUUGAGAAUUGAGUCAGUGAAACAAACAAUAAUCAGGCUUUUCACUAUCUACUACUACCGGGUUACAUUUUUCCACAUAGAUCUCAUUUGCAACAUGAAGAUGUGGGCAGAAGGUUUUAUCGUAACUUUGCUUCUAGAAUUAAUGCAAGAGACCAACAACUUCAGAGGCCCUUUACCAUGGUUUCUUCCAGUUGUGGUGGUCUUUUAAGUAGUUCGAGUUGUUGUGCAUCUUUCAGCAUUAGCUGGAGUCAAUAGGUGAUGCAAUCGGCUUCCUAACUGCGCACGCGAUGAAGUUCUUAAGCGACAUUGACCAGGUCAUAAACACAUCAAAGACGUUGGAAAUUUCAUGGCUCAGUUGGGAAUUGAGUCAGUGAAACAAACAAUAAUCAGAUCUCAUUUGCAUCUGAUGAUGUAAUCGGCCUUAUAUCCCAGAAGGUUUUAUCGUAACUUUGCUUCUAGAAUCAAUGCAAGAGACCAACAACCUCAGAGACCCUUUGCCAUAGUUUCUUCCAGUGUUUUAUUAGAUAACUCCAUAUCUUCUCUCCACAACAGUUGGAAGAACUCCGCAUUAAGGGAAGGCACAAGAUCAGCAAUGGGAAAAGAUAUUUUAUGGUGCUUUUCCAAAUUUUGUAGAAGAUGUGAUGAAGUAUAUUAAGAGGUUUCAGACAAUGGAUUUUUGAUGGUCAAGGAGGAAGCUAAGGAAGUUGAGGAAAACCAUAAAGGGAAUUAAAUUCUACGUGUCCUAUCCCUUUCUAUUUACCAACUAAUUAUGUGUAAUGCGUUUUCUAAUUCUCUUUUAUGUUAUUUGUGAAGUCACCUUGCUUCUAUGAUCCAUGCAAAAGACAACCAGUUUUUGAGACCCUUCAUCAUGGUUUCAUCCAGAUGUGGUAGUCUUUUACCCAAGUUGCUACUACAUUCCUCCAUGCUUUCAUGUACGAAGCAGUAGGAACUCUUCUACCAGAACUAGUGGGGGAACAAGACUAACAAGGAGGCACAUGUGAUUUACUUUUAAGUACCUUGACUAGUUCGAGAAAACGAAGCAGAUUUCACUCUGUGACGAUUCUUUGUCACAGAGGGAACCGUGGAAGUGGAUAGCAAUGAUGGGUGCCGAAACAAUUUAUCAUGGUAAUGUCUUUGAAUUGAAGAAAAGAGGAAAACAUGGAACUUGUCGGUGUGCAUCCUUCAGCAUUAAUUGGAUUUUUGGUAGAUCAUACACUCGGCCUAGUCACAGCAAGUUAUUCUGGCGCACGCGAUGAAGUUCUUAAGCGACAUUGACCAGGUCAUAAACACAUCAAAGAGUGCAGACGUUGGGCAUUUCAUGGCUUAGUUGGGAAUUGAGUCUGUGAAACAAACAAUAAUUAGAUAUGGAGAAGCAAAUUGGACACUGAGAGAAAUCCCGAUCAUCAGAGCGAGUUCGUUAAUUGCCAAUCGGAAGUUUGAGUGGGUUGAAGCUUAUAUAAGAGCAAAAUAUAAAAAAGAAAAUGUCUCUUCGCAAGAAAAUAAAAGAGAAAGUGUCAGAUUUUCUGGAGUUGAUCAUAGAUGACACGAGUGAUGGAAUACCGAGUUUUUCUGAUCAAAUGGCAACUUUAUCAAUAAAUAUGCCCAUGACACCCAGUGUGGGAUAUAAUUAUAUGCCCAAUCCCAUGAUGAAUCAGCCAACAUUGUACAAUUACAGUGUAGCACCAUGCCGUUACAUUGUGCCUGCAAUGGAAGGAUAUAUGCCCACAAUGAAGGAGACAACAUCGCAGAAUGGAUUCGAAGCCUUUAUGGAUGAUCGAGAAUUGCAAAGAGGGGACCCAAUUUCAGAAGUUAUAAUGGAAGCAAUUAAAUUGUCAAAGCUUUCCAUUAUUGUUUUCUCUGAAAACUUUGCGAACUCUACUUGGUGCCUUAAUGACCUUGUUCAAAUUCUUGAGUGGAAGAGGAAGAGAAAUCAUCUUGUUUGGCCAAUUUUUUAUAAAGUGGACCCCACAGACGUAAGGCAUCAGAAGAAUAGCUAUGGUCAAGCAAGAAAGAAGGUUUGGAAAAGAUUCGAAAAAGGUAAAGAAAUGGAGAUCAGCUUUGACUCAUUUUGAUGGGAAGCCUCGCAAAUGAAAAGUGAAGCCUUUGAACUUAUUGAUCGUCGCCACCUGCUUAAGGAGGCCAUUGAGACCCUCAGCUACAAUGAGAAAAAAGGAAGGCUGCCAUUGGGUCCACCUGAUGGAGGCUUUUCCACAUUUUGAACUCUUUAUUAAUAGGCUUAAAAGUAUUUCAUGCCCCUGAUGUAUGAUGAUUGUGCAAAAGUCGUCCCUACUCUUUUUUCAUCUACAUUUGUACCCUUCAUGUUUCUAAAAAGUGCACCGAAUGCCCCUAUGUCACUUUGACGUUAAAAAAUGGGCCACGUCAGCGUCCUACGUGGUGUGACAUGUCAUUAAAAAAAAUACUUGGGAAAAUGGGGUGGGGGAUUCAAACCCAAGACCUUGAACAAACAAAACACACUUUACCAGUUGAGCUACACAACCAAUUUGUUAUAUCAUGACCAAAGUUUUAUUUAUAUCAUAUUCAUUCAUCAUCA